AUUGAACGCUGGCGGCAGGCCUAACACAUGCAAGUCGAGCGGAUGAAGGGAGCUUGCUCCUGGAUUCAGCGGCGGACGGGUGAGUAAUGCCUAGGAAUCUGCCUGGUAGUGGGGGAUAACGUCCGGAAACGGGCGCUAAUACCGCAUACGUCCUGAGGGAGAAAGUGGGGGAUCUUCGGACCUCACGCUAUCAGAUGAGCCUAAGUCGGAUUAGCUAGUUGGUGGGGUAAAGGCCUACCAAGGCGACGAUCCGUAACUGGUCUGAGAGGGUGAUCAGUCACACUGGAACUGAGACACGGUCCAGACUCCUACGGGAGGCAGCAGUGGGGAAUAUUGGACAAUGGGCGAAAGCCUGAUCCAGCCAUGCCGCGUGUGUGAAGAAGGUCUUCGGAUUGUAAAGCACUUUAAGUUGGGAGGAAGGGCAGUAAGUUAAUACCUUGCUGUUUUGACGUUACCAACAGAAUAAGCACCGGCUAACUUCGUG
rnacentral:rRNA from 1 species